AAAACUGAAACAAUCAAAGAAAGGUGGAGUUUCUGCCGAAAUUGGUGGUUCUUGCAAGUGAUGAUUUAUUACGAAUGAGAUGGAAAUGUUCCACUAUUGACCUUGAAUGUUUGGAAAGUCGUACAUGAUUUAUGAAUGAGAUUGUCAGUAACUUCCCUUUCUCCUGGUAUGAAUAAAGUGUGGACUGUGAUGUAUAGAUGUGAAAUAGGUAACUGAGAGGCACUAUAGCCAUAUAGGAGUAGUGGCAAAUUUUCAUAACACCUCUCUGGUUGAAUAUCAAAACAAAUGAUAAUACAUGGUAUGUUGAUUCAG
rnacentral:lncRNA from 1 species